AAGAGAGACAUGCGCGCAUAUCAAUAAGCGGAGGAAAAGAAACUAACAAGGAUUCCCUUAGUAACGGCGAGUGAAGCGGGAAGAGCUCAAAUUUGAAAUCUUCAAGGUUUUACCUUGACGAAUUGUAGUUUAAAGAAGUGUUUUCUGCUGAAGUUUUGGUAAAAGUUCUUUGGAAUAGGACAUCAUAGAGGGUGAGAAUCCCGUAUUUGACCAUUAUUUUCAGCUUUGUGAUACACUUUCAAAGAGUCGGAUUGUUUGGGAAUGCAGUCCAAAAUGGGUGGUAAAUUUCAUCUAAAGCUAAAUAUUGGCGAGAGACCGAUAGCGAACAAGUACCGUGAGGGAAAGAUGAAAAGAACUUUGAAAAGAGAGUUAAACAGUACGUGAAAUUGUCAAAAGGGAAGCGUUUGACACCAGUGUUGUUUCCUCGAAAAUCAAUUAAAAAUGGCUCGAUUUUGUAUUGCUGAGACCUUAAAAGCUCACUGUACAUUUUUCGUGUCCUUUUUAAUGCACUUUUCGUUUAACAAGUCAACAUCAGUUUCUUUUGUUGUAAAAGGGUCAUUGGAAGGUGGCUUUCUUUUCGGAGAAAGUGUUUAUAGCCUUUGGCCUCUGCAAUCGGAAGAGACUGAGGUCUGCAGCGUAGACUCUUCGGGGUUAGAUACAUUUGUGCUAAGUUAUAGCUUUUUAUAGACAACUUGUUGACUAUAAUUAGUCUUGUAGCUUACUCGCUUAUGCUAUUUUACCUACGCUUAGGAUGUUGAAGAUGUAGCACAUCAU
rnacentral:rRNA from 1 species